rnacentral:rRNA from 1 species
AGUGGAUGGGGAGCAACCUAGUUGUGCGUGUGUAAAGGUAGUGCCAAGAAAAGCGAUGAUCAUGUUGAAAAUCAAUUCCCGGUACCCGAAACCGACACAGGUGGGCAAGUAGAGAAUACUAAGGGGCGCGAGGUAACUCUCUCCAAGGAACUCGGCAAAAUGACCCCGUAACUUAGGGAGAAGGGGUGCCACCGAGAGGUGGUCGCAGUGAAGAGGCCCAGGCGACUGUUUAGCAAAAACAUAGGUCUCUGCAAACUCGAAAGAGGAGGUAUAGGGGCUGACGCCUGCCCAGUGCCGGAAGGUUAAAGAAGUUGGUCAGUUUUAGGAUGAAGCUAGCGACUGAAGCCCCGGUGAACGGCGGCCGUAACUAUAACGGUCCUAAGGUAGCGAAAUUCCUUGUCGGGUAAGUUCCGACCCGCACGAAAGGCGUAACGAUCUGGGCGCUGUCUCGGAGAGAGGCUCGGCGAAACAGGAUUGUCUGUGAAGAUACGGACUACCUGCAUUUGGACAGAAAGACCCUAUGAAGCUUUACUAUAGCUUGGAAUUGUGUUCGGGCUUCCUGUGCGCAGGUUAGGUGGGAGGCGUAGAAGGUAUUCUUGUGGGGAUACUGGAGCCAACGGUGAGAUACCACUCUCAGGAGGCUAGAAUUCUAACUUAAUUAAGGACAGUUUCAGGUGGGUAGUUUGACUGGGGCGGUCGCCUCCAAAAAGGUAACGGAGGCGUACAAAGGUUCCCUCAGACUGGUUGGAAAUCAGUCGAAGAGUGCAAAGGCAGAAGGGAGCUUGACUGCGAGAAGUACAGUUCGAGCAGGGUGGAAACACGGUCUUAGUGAUCCGACGGUGCUGUGUGGAAGGGCCGUCGCUCAACGGAUAAAAGUUACUCUAGGAUAACAGGCUGAUCUCCCCCGAGAGUUCACAUCGACGGGGAGGUUUGGCACCUCGAUGUCGGCACAUCGCAACCUGGGGCGGAAGUACGUCCCAAGGGUUGGGCUGUUCGCCCAUUAAAGCGGUACGUGAGCUGGGUUCAGAACGUCGUGAGACAAUUCGGUCCAUAUCCGAUGUAGGCGUGAGAAUAUUGAGAGGAGCCUUCCUUAGUACGAGAGGACCGGGAAGGACGCACCGCUGGUGUACCUGUUAUGAUGCCAAUUGUAAACGCAGGGUAGCCAAGUGCGGAGAGGAUAACCGCUGAAAGCAUCUAAGUGGGAAGCCCACCUCAAGAUGAGUAUUCUGGUGUAAGGUCACGGGAAGACGACCCGUAAAUAGGCACGAGGUGGAAGUGCAGAGAUGUAUGAAGCCGAAGUGUACUAAUAGACCGUCGGCUUGACC